AUACGUAGGGGGCGAGCGUUGUCCGGAAUGAUUGGGCGUAAAGGGCGCGUAGGCGGCCCGGUAAGUCUGGAGUGAAAGUCCUGUUUUUAAGAUGGGAAUUGCUUUGGAUACUGUCGGGCUUGAGUGCUGGAGAGGUAAGUGGAAUUCCCAGUGUAGCGGUGAAAUGCGUAGAGCUUGGGAGGAACACCAGUGGCGAAGGCGACUUACUGGACUGUAACUGACGCUGAGGCGCGAAAGUGUGGGGAGCAAACAGGAUUAGAUACCCUGGUAGUCCACACUGUAAACGAUGAAUGCUAGGUGUAGGGGGUAUCGACCCCUUCUGUGCCGCAGUCAACACAAUAAGCAUUCCGCCUGGGGAGUACGGCCGCAAGGUUGAAACUCAAAUGAAUUGACGGGG
rnacentral:rRNA from 1 species